AAGCAAUACCAACAGCCCUUACAGAAACCAUCCCCCUGCACAAAUGGAAGGAUGGUAGAAAGCGAAAGUUUAUCUAGAGCUACAAAUAAUGAAGAAAGAAUUAAAAAAGAGAAUGAGAUCAUGGAAACCAAGGCUUCUAGAUGUCAUGCUACCCACCCAUGCUAUCGUCCAUCAGUCAACAGUAAGGGAACUGCUCGUCCUGCUUGCAGGCUUGGAGGCACUGUAGGGAAGCACACGAUCAAAGUCAGUCUGCAGACAGCCUAAGGAUUCAUCUCGUACCUAUGUUGUGGGGAACAGAAGUCAGCUUCAUCUCUCGCAGAGUAUCAAUCACCCCCAAGAUGCAAAUUCAGUGAG